rnacentral:rRNA from 1 species
UGAGUAACACGUAUCCAACCUGCCGUCUACUCUUGGACAGCCUUCUGAAAGGAAGAUUAAUACAAGAUGGCAUCAUGAGUCCGCAUGUUCACAUGAUUAAAGGUAUUCCGGUAGACGAUGGGGAUGCGUUCCAUUAGAUAGUAGGCGGGGUAACGGCCCACCUAGUCUUCGAUGGAUAGGGGUUCUGAGAGGAAGGUCCCCCACAUUGGAACUGAGACACGGUCAA